AAUCUGUCCAUGUACCUUAUCGGU
rnacentral:snRNA from 1 species